rnacentral:siRNA from 1 species
UCUAAAACGGAUAGAAGCCUAGCC